GAACAGAAAAAGAAGGAAAGAAGAAAGGCAGGAAAGCAGGAAGGAAGCAGCAAGGGAGGAAGAGAAGGAGGAAGACAGACAAUCACAAAGCAGACUUUUCAGCAUCUGGAUUCACAGCAAUAAGGAAUUACCAAUGGCAAUGCUAAGGAAAGAUGGCUGGCUAGAUUACUGCCAACAGGCUCUUCACUGAAAAAAAAAAGAAAGAAAAAGAAAAAAG
rnacentral:lncRNA from 1 species